GGUAUUCUUUCUCUCCCCAGA
rnacentral:snRNA from 1 species